GUGGUUCAAGCAGUGAAAAAUGUGGAACCAAAUUGGAGCUUCCACCAAGUUAGAAUGUCAGCAUUUCCCCUUCUGGCUCCACAUACGACCACCAGAGGGAGCCCUCACCUGAGUAUUGAUGCUGCACUCCCUCUCUACACUCAGCCAGAUCUCCUCAGCUGUUUUUAAUCCACCUCAUCACUACCAGUGGAUAUAGUCUCCCUGCAGUCACCACCUCAGUGUGAAGUCUUGUACUGCCCUGCAUAGAUCUCUGAGUGUUUCUAUUUACUUUGUCUCCUGGUUUUGAUCUUUGCCCUUCCUCCUCGGUUUCCUGCCUGCCUCCGGCCUCGACCCACGCCUGGACUCUGACCACGCUUAUCUCUUGCCCUUGUCCAUUAAACCAUUUGCUUAUGGAUCCAAACGUCUCAGCCUCUUCGUCAAACAGAGACUCUGGGGAUAGGGAGGCAAUCCUUUUGGUGUGAUAGACACAGUUCCUUUAGUGCAAGGGUGUCAAACUCAAUCGCACAGGUGGCCAAAAUCCAAAUAACAGAGUAGAUCAUGGGCCGAAUAAGAUAAACAUUUAUUGAAUAAAAAAAAAAAAAAAA